ACAAAGAGCCAAGACCACUGGAAUUAAAAAACCUCUGUGAUCCAGUAUAAUCAUACUGGGAGAAGGGAAAAUGGUGAUGAAAUGCGCAGUCAGCAGUCUGGAUUGCAGUGAAUCUUCAACAAGAGGAAAAAAUCCAGUAUAGCAGCCAAGGCUAUGGAAGGCUGGGAAGUGUGAGAGUUGGUGGCCAGGCCUGCACAGUUCUGAGCUGCCUGUGUUUAACUAGUCCCCAUGUAACAUCCUAUUGAGUGUGUGACCAUUUCCCUGGAAAAGCAACUCUCUUUCUGAGAGCUGGAGAAGAGGCUGCAGGUACUAGAGCCGUGAAUUCCCUAGCCUCUUCCCUCUCAGCGUGGGAGAUGUCCAGACAAGCAUUUUGAGGUGUAUAAUUCUCAGCAGGCACCACCUGGGGAGCCUUAAUGUUGGACUUAGAAUUUUACAUUUUGUUCUGGUGACCAAACUCCUAAAUUCAAGCUAUUAAAUUGCAAAGUCUUCUUACUGGAUCUAGUCACAGCCUCCAAGCCUAUUUUGCUGGUCUGCUCCAGAAAAUGGCAGUCACAGCA